UCUAUUUUUUAUACGUAGAUGUUUCAGGUUUUAAGAAUAAAUUGGUUGAACCCAAAAUCUGGAGGAAGUACCUAUAUCCAUACACAGAAUAUGCCCAUUAAAAAUACUAGUCCAAAUUUGCUUUAAUGGAACGAUUAGGGCCCGAUAUAUUUGAAACUCAUGUUGGACAUAGUAUUGAGUUGGGUAGAAUAUUAUUCUACGUUAAGUGAGGGUAUCAGAUACCUAUUAUUGUACUGUAUUUUAAUAUAUACAUUAGAAUUGUUGGUUUUUUCAUAUUUGUUUUAUUUAUUAUUUUACUUACAAGUUAUAUAAAGUUAACACUAAAAUCUACUUUUUGACUUAUAUAAGUUAGUCUGUGGUUUAAUGCGUGAUUACAUCCACAUGAUUUCAAGUUUUUAAAAUAUAAAUAUUAUAACUGGCUUUAAAAACUCCAUUAAACUGUUAAAAGUGUAAUUUAUUUCAAAAUAAAUAUACAUAUAUAGGUAUAUAUUAAUAUCGAAAAACAUUUUUAUUUCCUUAACACCAAUUUAAUCAUCACAUACAUAUGUAUAAACAUUUAUUUACGUUAUUUCAAAUGAAGACCACAGGAAAAACCAGCUUUGUUCAUUUUAACUGGAGCCGAGAAAAUGCAAUUACGAGUGAACUACUCUGGUUUUUCUCCUGUAGGG
rnacentral:lncRNA from 1 species